rnacentral:lncRNA from 1 species
GAAGGCAAGUAGAGAGAGAAAUUGUAAAGGAGAGCAAGUAGAGAGAGAAAGUGAGGGAGAAAGUGUUCCCUCAUAACUAAAACUACAAAGGGGAAGAGAGAGGAAAAAGGAAGUUUCAUCUAAAUUUUAUGGACUUUUCAACGGGGGUUAAUACAAGAAACAAGAAUGUUGAGAUCACGCAUACGAUUAAGGUGCACUUUCAAAACAGUGGCGACCUCCGACUCUUGCCUGUUUUUGCCUCUGGCGAUAUGCAGGGAA